AAAAACAGUGGAAAAAAUACAAUGGCCACUGCUACUAUUAUGGAAGCGAGAAACUUACUUGGUUUGAGUCUGAGCAACGAUGUAUUCAGAUUGGAGGGCAUUUAGCAAAAAUAGACGAUGAGGCAGAAAACAAAUGGAUAUUUGAUAACAGAACAUACAAACUUGAUGUAUGGAUGGGACUUACAGACCUAAAGGAAGGAGAAUUCCGUUGGAGUUAUGAUCAGACCUUAGCAACAUAUAAACCAUGGUUUGGUGGAUGGGGAAGUAAAGGUACAAGUUAUAACUGUGGAUUGAUUCAUAAUAACAAAGCCUAUACCUGGCUGGAUUAUACUUGUACGAGUAAAUUCGUGUAUGUAUGUGAGAGUCAUUUCUGUUAUUGAUGUUGAAUGAGAAGACAUUUGCCAUCCAAUAAAAA